GCGUAACGAUCUCCACACUGUCUCGGCCAGAGACUCGGUGAAAUUGCAGUCGCGGUGAAAAUUCCGUGUACCCGCAGAAAGACGGAAAGACCCUGUGCACCUUUACUAUAGCUUGACAUUGGAUUUUGGGCCUGCAUGUGUAGGAUAGGUGGGAGGCUGUGAACCCUGUACGCCAGUAUGGGGGGAGCCAUCCUUGAAAUACCACCCUUGCAUGUUUAAGAUCCUAACUUCUUCCGGUUAUCCCGGAGAAAGACAGUGUCUGGCGGGUAGUUUGACUGGGGCGGUCGCCUCCUAAAGUGUAACGGAGGCAUGCAAAGGUUCCCUCAGCCUGAUCGGAAACCAGGCGCUGAGUGCAAACGCAUAAGGGAGCUUGACUGUAAGAGAGACAUCUCGAACAGGAACGAAAGUUGGCGUUAGUGAUCCGGUGGUCCCGUAUGGAAGGGCCAUCGCUCAUUGGAUAAAAGGUACGCCGGGGAUAACAGGCUGAUCGCAUCCAAGAGUUCACAUCGACGAUGCGGUUUGGCACCUCGAUGUCGGCUCAUCACAUCCUGGGGCUGAAGUAGGUCCCAAGGGUACGGCUGUUCGCCGUUUAAAGUGGUACGCGAGCUGGGUUUAAAACGUCGUGAGACAGUUUGGUCCCUAUCUUCUGUGGGCGAAGGAGAAUUGAGAGGGCCUGUCCCUAGUACGAGAGGACCGGGAUGGACGCACCCCUGGUGAUCCUGUUGUCGCGCCAGCGGCAUAGCAGGGUAGCUAUGUGCGGAAGGGAUAACCGCUGAAAGCAUCUAAGCGGGAAGCCUGCCUCAAGAUAAGUUCUCCCCUCGAAAGAGCUGAAGGGCCCGGGUAGACUACCCGGUCGAUAGGCUGGAGGUGUAAGCGCGGCGACGUGCUCAGCUGACCAGUACUAAUAGCCCGAGCGGCUUAUUUUU
rnacentral:rRNA from 1 species